GUGGAAUCAAGGAAACCAGAGGCAGAGUGACGGAAAGAAAGAGCUCCGUUGGCAACAAGCCGCCUUGUGGGCAGCCGGUUGGCUCUGGCCUUCAGAGACCCUCUCACCUGAGGAAGAAUCUGGUAUAUGAUUUUCCAAGGGGAGAUAUGAGGGUCCUCAAUCUCCAGUAUUCCAAAAAGUCUCCUCUCUGGAGCCUGGCUUCGGCAUCUUUCUCGUUCACAGGUUGGCGAGGGCUCCCUAGCGGCUCGUGUCUGCGUUUGUUGAGGUCAGUGUUUCUGGCAGGCACCUCCUGGGGUGGCCUUCCGCCAUGGCUUGGGAGCACCCCGGAAGCGAGUGCUCCCUCUGUGCAGACCUAGCCAACGUUCGCGGACGGUUGACCCCUGAAAGUCCUGGUGAUCCUCCCUGAAUCUGUCAUCAGUACGUGGUUUAUACUGCUCUGGAGGAAGGGGAGAGGAGACUCUGACCCGAGUCCCUCAAGGUCCUGCUGUGAGGCGAAGAACAGCCAUUCCUACAAACUCUUCUCUCCUCAGGCAUGUGGGCCUGGAAUCCCAACUCAGGCACUUAGUCUUUAGGAGGGGCUGGGGUGGCAGGCAGAGAAAUCCCAGGGAGCAGAGAGUUAGGGUGACAUGAUUCCCCCAGGAGUCUCUGGGCUCAGCCUCUCCAUGGACACUGGGGUUGGGGAAAGAGGCUUGUAGGCAGAAUUCCAGGGCAGAUUGUGGUGCCUGAGUUGGAACUUCCCUACCCCAAGCAGUCCCCCAGGUGCCGGUUAGAGGUACAGGAAUCAUGUUGCUAUGCUUAGUAUAAAAAAAUACAGGAUACCGGGUGCAGUGGUGUUUGUCUGUGAUCCCAGCAGCUCGGGAGGCUGAGGCAGGAGGAUGGAGAGUUCAAAGCCAGCCUCAGCAAUGGCAAGGCACUAAGCAACUCAGUGAGACCCUGUCUCUAAAUAAAAUACAAAAUAGGGCCAUGGAUGUGGCUCAGUGAUUGAGUGCCCCUGAGUUCAACCCUUGGUACCCCCCCAAUAAUAAUAAUAAUAAAUAAAAAUUAAAAAUACAGGACAUACUGUCAAUUAAAUAAAGAAUAGGGCUUUAGUAUAAGUAUGUCCCAAAUAUGGCUUGGGGGGUUGGGGUUGUGGCUCAGCACGGUAGAGCACUCGCCUAGCACGUGAGAGGCACUGGGUUUGAUCCUUAGCAC
rnacentral:lncRNA from 1 species